rnacentral:rRNA from 1 species
UACAGAGGGUGCAAGCGUUGUUCGGAAUUACUGGGCGUAAAGCGCACGUAGGUGGUUUAGUAAGUCUGAUGUGAAAGCCCUGGACUCAAUCCAGGAAGUGCAUUGGAUACUGCUAGACUAGAGUACAGGAGGGGUAAGCGGAAUUCCAGGUGUAGAGGUGAAAUUCGUAGAUAUCUGGAGGAACAACGGAGGCGAAGGCGGCUUACUGGACUGUAACUGACACUGAGGUGCGAAAGCGUGGGUAGCAAACAGG